rnacentral:antisense_RNA from 1 species
CUUCAGCGACCCCAGCCAGAGCGGACGGCCCUCCAGCCGGUCCUGGCCGUAGGUCGCGAGCAGUGCCUGGGCCUC